rnacentral:rRNA from 1 species
UACGGAGGGGGCUAGCGUUGUUCGGAAUUACUGGGCGUAAAGCGCGCGUAGGCGGCUUUGCAAGUUAGAGGUGAAAGCCCGGAGCUCAACUCCGGAACUGCCUUUAAAACUGCAUAGCUUGAAUCCGGGAGAGGUGAGUGGAAUUCCGAGUGUAGAGGUGAAAUUCGUAGAUAUUCGGAAGAACACCAGUGGCGAAGGCGGCUCACUGGACCGGUACUGACGCUGAGGUGCGAAAGCGUGGGGAGCAAACAGG